rnacentral:rRNA from 1 species
CAGAGACUGCAAGCGUUAUUCGGAUUCACUGGGCGUAAAGGGUGCGCAGGCGGCCGGGUGUGUCAGAUGUGAAAUCCCGAGGCUUAACCUCGGAACUGCGUCUGAAACUACUCGGCUAGAGUACUGGAGAGGGUAACGGAAUUCACGGUGUAGCAGUGAAAUGCGUAGAUAUCGUGAGGAACACCAGAGGCGAAGGCGGUUACCUGGACAGUUACUGACGCUCAGGCACGAAAGCAUGGGGAGCAAAAGGGAUUAGAUACCCCUGUAGUCCAUGCCCUAAACGGUGCACACUAGGUCUUAGCGGAUUCGACCCCACUAGGGCCCAAGCUAACGCGUUAAGUGUGCCGCCUGAGGACUACGGUCGCAAGACUA